CCUGGCUCAGAUUGAACGCUGGCGGCAUGCCUUACACAUGCAAGUCGAACGGCAGCGCGGGGCAACCUGGCGGCGAGUGGCGAACGGGUGAGUAAUAUAUCGGAACGUACCCUGGAGUGGGGGAUAACGUAGCGAAAGUUACGCUAAUACCGCAUACGAUCUACGGAUGAAAGUGGGGGAUCGCAAGACCUCAUGCUCGUGGAGCGGCCGAUAUCUGAUUAGCUAGUUGGUAGGGUAAAAGCCUACCAAGGCAUCGAUCAGUAGCUGGUCUGAGAGGACGACCAGCCACACUGGGACUGAGACACGGCCCAGACUCCUACGGGAGGCAGCAGUGGGGAAUUUUGGACAAUGGGUGCAAGCCUGAUCCAGCAAUGCCGCGUGAGUGAAGAAGGCCUUCAGGUUGUAAAGCUCUUUUGUCAGGGAAGAAACGGUGGGAGCUAAUAUCUCUCACUAAUGACGGUACCUGAAGAAUAAGCACCGGCUAACUACGUGCCAGCAGCCGCGGUAAUACGUAGGGUGCAAGCGUUAAUCGGAAUUACUGGGCGUAAAGCGUGCGCAGGCGGUUUUGUAAGUCUGAUGUGAAAUCCCCGGGCUCAACCU
rnacentral:rRNA from 1 species